GAUGAAGAACGCAGUGAAAUGCGAUACUUGGUGUGAAUUGCAGAAUCCCGUGAACCAUCGAGUCUUUGAACGCAAGUUGCGCCCGAAGCCAUUAGGCCGAGGGCACGCCUGCCUGGGCGUCACACGUCGUUGCCCCCCCAUCUACUCCUUCGGGAUUGCGGGGGGCGGAUGAUGGCCUCCCGUGCGCCUCGCCGCGCGGUUGGCAUAAAUGCCAAGUCCUCGGCGACGCACGCCACGACAAUCGGUGGUUGCGAAACCUCGGUUGCCCGUCGUGUGCGGUCGUCGCGCAUCGAGGGCUCGAAAAAAUUGCCGGGUUCCGGCUCGGCUUUCAACGCGACCCCAGGUCAGGCGGGGUUACCCGCUGAAUUUAAGCAUAUCAAUAGCGGAGGA
rnacentral:misc_RNA from 1 species